rnacentral:misc_RNA from 1 species
GAAAUGCGAUAAGUAGUGUGAAUUGCAGAAUUCAGUGAAUCAUCGAAUCUUUGAACGCACAUUGCGCCCCUUGGUAUUCCAAGGGGCAUGCCUGUUCGAGCGUCAUUUGUACCCUCAAGCUCUGCUUGGUGUUGGGUGUUUGUCUAGUGUUUUUAGCACAAGACUCGCCUUAAAUCAAUUGGCAGCCGGCACGUUAGCCUGGAGCGCAGCACAUUUUGCGCACCUUGCUACCAAUGUUGGCCCCCAUCAAGUCCAUAUAUUUGCUCUUGACCUCGGAUCAGGUAGGGAUACCCGCUGAACUUAA